GACGAACGCUGGCAGCGUGCCUAAUACAUGCAAGUUGAGCGCUGAAGGUUGGUACUUGUACCAACUGGAUGAGCAGCGAACGGGUGAGUAACGCGUGGGGAAUCUGCCUUUGAGCGGGGGACAACAUUUGGAAACGAAUGCUAAUACCGCAUAAAAACUUUAAACACAAGUUUUAAGUUUGAAAGAUGCAAUUGCAUCACUCAAAGAUGAUCCCGCGUUGUAUUAGCUAGUUGGUGAGGUAAAGGCUCACCAAGGCGAUGAUACAUAGCCGACCUGAGAGGGUGAUCGGCCACAAUGGGACUGAGACACGGCCCAAUCUCCUACGGGAGGCAGCAGUAGGGAAUCUUCGGCAAUGGACGAAAGUCUGACCGGGCAACGCCGCGGGAGUGAAGAAGGGUUUCGGAUCGUAAAACUCUGUUGGUAGAGAAGAACGUUGGUGAGAGUGGAAAGCUCAUCAAGUGACGGUAACUACCCAGAAAGGGACGGCUAACUACGUG
rnacentral:rRNA from 1 species